UUUGUUUUUUGGUUUUUUGUUUGUUAGUUUUUUUGUUACACAAAUGUGUCAGUAUGUUUCAGAGAAGAAAGAGGAUGUGUCUCUGAUCAGAAUUCUGACCGAUAAACAUCUGAACGAUUAGUAGCCUAACAUU
ensembl:snoRNA